rnacentral:rRNA from 1 species
GAUGAACGCUGGCGGCGUGCUUAACACAUGCAAGUCGAACGAUGAAGCCCAGCUUGCUGGGUGGAUUAGUGGCGAACGGGUGAGUAACACGUGAGUAACCUGCCCCUAACUCUGGGAUAAGCCUGGGAAACUGGGUCUAAUACCGGAUAGGAGCGUCCACCGCAUGGUGGGUGUUGGAAAGAUUUAUCGGUUUUGGAUGGACUCGCGGCCUAUCAGCUUGUUGGUGAGGUAAUGGCUCACCAAGGCGACGACGGGUAGCCGGCCUGAGAGGGUGACCGGCCACACGGGGACUGGGACACGGCCCAGACUCCUACGGGAGGCAGCAGUGGGAAUAUUGCACAAUGGGCGCAAGCCUGAUGCAGCGACGCCGCGUGAGGGAUGACGGCCUUCGGGUUGUAAACCUCUUUCAGUAGGGAAGAAGCGAAAGUGACGGUACCUGCAGAAGAAGCACCGGCUAACUACGUG